GACGAACGCUGGCGGCGUGCUUAACACAUGCAAGUCGAACGGAAAGGCCCUGCUUGCAGGGUGCUCGAGUGGCGAACGGGUGAGUAACACGUGGGUGAUCUCCCCUGCACUUCGGGAUAAGCCUUGAAAACUGGGUCUAUAACCCGAUAGUAGCGAUCUUGAGUGUGGGGGUUGGAAGGAUUUUUCGGUGUAUGAUGAGCUCGCGGCCGUUAAGCUAGUUGGUGGGGUAAUGGCCUACCAAGGCGGCGAGGGGUAGCUGGCCUGAGAGGGUGUAAGGCCACACUGGGAUUGUGAGACAGGCCGCAGUGCGCAAGGAGGGAGAAGGGGGGAAAAUUGGACACAGGGGGCACGCGUGUUGGAGAGAAGCCGCGUGGGCGAUAAGGGCUUUAGGGUUGUAGAAACCUCUGUCGCGUGAUGCGGAGCUGUUGUGACGGUACCUAGAUAAGAAGCACCGGCUAACUACGUG
rnacentral:rRNA from 1 species